AUUGAACGCUGGCGGCAGGCCUAACACAUGCAAGUCGAGCGGAAACGAUCCUAGCUUGCUAGGAGGCGUCGAGCGGCGGACGGGUGAGUAAUGCAUAGGAAUCUGCCCGGUAGUGGGGGAUAACUUGAGGAAACUCAAGCUAAUACCGCAUACGCCCCAAGGGGGAAAGCAGGGGAUCUUCRGACCUUGCGCUAUCGGAUGAGCCUAUGUCGGAUUAGCUAGUUGGUGAGGUAAUGGCUCACCAAGGCCGCGAUCCGUAGCUGGUCUGAGAGGAUGAUCAGCCACAUCGGGACUGAGACACGGCCCGAACUCCUACGGGAGGCAGCAGUGGGGAAUAUUGGACAAUGGGCGAAAGCCUGAUCCAGCCAUGCCGCGUGUGUGAAGAAGGCCUUCGGGUUGUAAAGCACUUUCAGCGAGGAAGAACGCUUGUGGGUUAAUACCCUGCAAGAAGGA
rnacentral:rRNA from 1 species